rnacentral:rRNA from 1 species
AUGUACAAUAAUGUUGUGACAAGUGUUCGAACAAGUGAUGUCGACACCGAUGACUUCCCGAUUAAGAUAGGACUGCACCAGGGGUUAGCUUUGAGCCCUUAUCUUUUUGCAUUGGUGAUGGAUGAGGUCACAAGGGGUAUACAAGGAGAUAUCCCAUGGUGUAUGCUCUUUGCGGAUGAUGUGGUGCUAGUUGACGAUAGUCGGACGGGGGUAAAUAGGAACUUAGAGUUAUGGAGACAAACCUUGGAAUCGAAAGGGUUUAGGCUUAGUAGAACUAAAACCGAGUACAUGAUGUGCGGUUUCAGUACUACUAGCUGUGAGGAGGAGGAGGUUAGCCUUGAUGGCCAGGUGGUACCUCGGAAGGACACCUUUCGGUAUUUGGGGUCAAUGUUGCAGGAGGACGGGGGUAUUGAUGAAGAUGUGAACCAUCGAAUCAAAGCCGGAUGGAUGAAGUGGCGCCAAGCUUCUGGCAUUCUCUGUGACAAGAGAGUGCCACAAAAGCUAAAAGGCAAGUUCUACAGGACGGCGGUUCGACCCGCAAUGUUGUAUGGCGCGGAGUGUUGGCCGACUAAAAGGUGA